rnacentral:rRNA from 1 species
GUGAGGAAUUUUCCGCAAUGGGCGAAAGCCUGACGGAGCAAUGCCGCGUGAAGGAUGAAGGCCUAUGGGUUGUAAACUUCUUUUCUCAGAAAAGAAUUAUGACGGUAUCUGAGGAAUAAGCAUCGGCUAACUCUGUGCCAGCAGCCGCGGUAAGACAGAGGAUGCAAGCGUUAUCCGGAAUGAUUGGGCGUAAAGCGUCUGUAGGUUGUUUAAAAAGUAUUCUGUCAAAGAUUAGGGCUUAACCCUAGAUAGGCAGAAUAAACUUUUAAGCUAGAGUUUGGUAGAGGCAGAGGGAAUUCCCGGUGGAGCGGUGAAAUGUGUAGAUAUCGGGAGGAACACCAAAGGCGAAGGCACUCUGCUGGGCCAAUACUAACACUGAGAGACGAAAGCGAGGGGAGCAAAUGGGAUUAGAAACCCCAGUAGUCC